rnacentral:rRNA from 1 species
UACAGAGGUCCCAAGCGUUGUUCGGAUUCACUGGGCGUAAAGGGUGCGUAGGUGGUGAGGUAAGUCGGAUGUGAAAUCUCCAGGCUCAACCUGGAAACUGCAUUGGAAACUACCUUGCUUGAGGGUUUGAGGGGGGGACUGGAAUUCUCGGUGUAGCAGUGAAAUGCGUAGAUAUCGAGAGGAACACCAGUGGCGAAGGCGAGUCCCUGGAA